UUUAAUUUUAGAUGAUAAAGACGAAAACAUUGGAAAACAAAUUAAUACCAAGCCUUGCAAUUUACAGGGUAAAGAUCAAUACUGGAUGCUCAGUAUCGAAGGAAGAAUAUUACGAGAUAAUAACUGCAUAGGAUUUAAGGACGACGACAUAGUUCUGAAUAGAUGUUUUGACAAAUGGACUUAUGAUUCAGAAACAAGGAAAAU